rnacentral:rRNA from 1 species
UACGGGGGAGCAAGCGUUGUUCGGAUUUACUGGGCGUAAAGGGCGCGUAGGCGGCCACUGCAAGUCGGUUGUGAAAUCUCCGGGCUUAACCCGGAAAGGUCAAUCGAUACUGCAGGGCUAGAGUGCGGAAGGGGCAACUGGAAUUCUCGGUGUAGCGGUGAAAUGCGUAGAUAUCGAGAGGAACACCUGCGGCGAAGGCGGGUUGCUGGGCCGACACUGACGCUGAGGCACGAAAGUGUGGGGAUCAAACAGG